rnacentral:lncRNA from 1 species
GACUGGGGAGGGGAAAAAAGUAAUGUGUAUCCAGAAUACACUCCAAAUGGGUCCUAAUUAGAGUUAAGUUUUGUUGAGCCGGUGACGACAACGUGGAAAUCUUAGUCCUAAGAAAAAACGCAUAACUUCAUGAAUGGUGCAAAAAGAUCAAGUUUGUGCCCAUUCAGCAUAUAGCCACAAUCUUUUUCUAAUUUGAUAAAGAGCAACCUCAGGAACAUACCCUUCUCACCGCAAAUAGCUAAAUGCAAUUGGAAAUGAUGUCAUUGAACCGAAAGUUGUAAGUGGUGUCUUUUUAGAGGCGCUACGAUGUGGGAUAAAAGACAUUU